rnacentral:rRNA from 1 species
UACGUAGGGUGCGAGCGUUGUCCGGAAUUAUUGGGCGUAAAGGGCUCGUAGGCGGUUUGUCACGUCGGGAGUGAAAACUCGGGGCUUAACCCCGAGCCUGCUUCCGAUACGGGCAGACUAGAGGUAUGCAGGGGAGAACGGAAUUCCUGGUGUAGCGGUGAAAUGCGCAGAUAUCAGGAAGAACACCCGUGGCGAAAGCGGCUCUCUGGAACGGUACUGACGCUGAGACGCGAAAGCGUGGGGAGCGAACAGG